AAAAAAAAAAAAAAAGAAAGAGAGAGAGAGAGAGAGAGAGAGAGAGAAAGAAAGAAAACCUAUAUAAAAUGCAGUUGAAUUUAGCUUGAUUAGUAUUUAUUGCCGGUGUGAGCACAGCAAGAACAGCAUUACGAAUCAUAGGAAAAGGAUGGAUACGUGGUACAAAUAGGGACUCUUUUGGAAAACUGACAACAUGGAUUCAGAGUAUUAAAUAUCUAAAAUAUGGCUUAAUAAAUUAUAGUUUGAACAAAAUACAUAAAUUAUAUUAAAAAGUGUUUGUUUAACCCCAAAUAUAUGCAAAUGAUGGAAUGGUAUGCAGCUGUUAAAGAUCAUGUUUUCCAUUAUUUCAGUGUUGAUCUCCCCAUUAAACUGAAGUCCAUGAGGCCAGGGAUCUUGCCUUUUCAAUUCCUUCUGCAUCCCUGGUAUCCAAAGAAGUUCACACAGUAGGCUCCCAACUUCUCUUCUUGCCUCAUACAUACCCGGCCACGGAUGCUGUCUCAUCGGCUGGAUGCACAACACUUCAAUGGAGCAAGGGCUUUCUGUUGUUGUUGUACCUGCCCUCUUGCUCCAUCAACUCCAGAACCCUGGUGAAUUAGGCUUCACUGCCUUGCAGACUUCCUAGUGAGUGCUGGGACAUCCAUUUAUUUGGGAGAGAACAAAAU
rnacentral:lncRNA from 1 species